UGAGGAAUAUUGGUCAAUGGGCGAGAGCCUGAACCAGCCAAGUAGCGUGAAGGAUGACUGCCCUAUGGGUUGUAAACUUCUUUUAUAUGGGAAUAAAGUGAGCCACGUGUGGCUUUUUGUAUGUACCAUAUGAAUAAGGACCGGCUAACUACGUGCCAGCAGCCGCGGUAAAACGUAGGGUGCGAGCGUUGUCCGGAAUUACUGGGUGUAAAGGGAGCGCAGGCGGAAGAAUAAGUUGGAAGUGAAAACUAUGGGCUCAACCCAUAACCUGCUUUCAAAACUGUUUUUCUUGAGUGGUGCAGAGGUAGGCGGAAUUCCCGGUGUAGCGGUGGAAUGCGUAGAUAUCACGAAGAACUCCGAUUGCGAAGGCAGCUCACUAGACUGGUCACUGACACUGAGGCUCGAAAGUGUGGGUAUCAAACA
rnacentral:rRNA from 1 species